CAGGGAGACAAAAUAAGAUCAUGAUGUCUGAAUAUUUUAUUUUUAGACCUUGGUCCUGUCACCUUAGGUCGAUCGGUACCUCAAAUUGAGAUUCAAAUUAAUUUGAAUCUCAAUCUCAGUUCCUAAACUUGUCUAGGUCACACCCAACAUGGGUACUCCUGGGCCAUUAGCUCAGGUGGUUAGAGCGCACCCCUGAUAAGGGUGAGGUCCCUGGUUCAAGUCCAGGAUGGCCCAUUCGAUGUUGGGGGUAUAGCUCAGUUGGUAGAGCGCCUGCUUUGCAAGCAGGAUGUCAGCGGUUCGAGUCCGCUUACCUCCACUGAUCGACCUCCUGACAUCAAGUGUCUAGGAGAUUUUAAUUUUGGUUGUGAUUUAGGCUAAGUUCUAAGUUGAUGAACCUAGCUUCUUGUCAUCACUAAUUCUAAAUAGUUUUGGAUUUAGUUGAUAAGACGCUGGGCUCACUGCAAAUCAAAUUUGCAGCGACGUUCAGUAGAACCUUGAAAACUGCAUAGGUGAGUCUGGAAAGAAUAAAAAAGCAUCUCAUGGAUGCAUUAUUCUUUUAGCAGAUUCUUUGGUUUUGAAUAUUCAGAGUCAUUGAUGAUGCCAUUAGGAUAAUGUGAAAUUCUUGAGCAAGAGCCGAGACUUUGUUAAUGUUCUUUUGUCGAAAAAACUCGAUAAAAGUAUGUUUUUACAUACUUAAUCCAUUAAUAAAAGUGGAGAAGUCCAAUUUUAUUUUGGUUGAGCAUGUAAGAACAACUUAAGUGCUAUGCAUAACAUUAAUAGGGUAUUAAU
rnacentral:tRNA from 1 species